GCCGGGGUGGCGAAACGGCAGACGCGCCAGCCUUAGGAGCUGGUGGCCGCAAGGUCGUGCGGGUUCGAGUCCCGCCCCCGGCACCA
rnacentral:tRNA from 1 species